UUUUAGGUGUUUCAUUAGAAUAACACACUUUUGUCGAGGCUAGGAAGUAAAGUUCCUCUUUCACACCUUGUGAUCUUUAGGACAGAGAUGUAAAGGUCAUCUGUUUUUGUGGCCUUUACUUUUCCCAAACUAAUGCAUGGUACCCACUAAAGCUGGGUGGACUCAAAAGUGCUCUAAAGACACCAUAAUUAAAAAUCCCAGUCUUCACCAGGAGUUCGAGCUAGGGAGCCCCAGUUUGGAAGCAGUGCGCUUUACCACUCUGCCCCCGUGUUUGUCCAGGCUACUUAACUUGAUUCAUUCAUUCGUAUCAAAUGUGUGCAUGAAUUUAAAAACAAAAUAUAUAAGUAUCUAGAAUUUCCAAUUGCAUAUAUUUGCAAAGUAAAGUUCAAUCAACUUGUUCAUCUCAUGUGAGCGUUAAAAUAGAAAUGAAUUUACAUAUUGAAAAAAACAAACAUGAUACCUCAUCAUCUUAAUCUUAACAUGUCUUUCCAUUUCUCAUGAACAUUGAUGAUCGAUUCAACCUGUGAACCAUUGUUAUAUAAUUUAUCUACAUUACACAUUACUACCUAAGUGUAGUUUGGUGGAAAUGCACACAUGUAAUCUCCCUAUCAAUAUUGAGAAUAAUGCAGAUAUCUGCUAUCCAUAUAGGCCUAUACAAGGUAUAUGUCAAUGAAGGAUUGUACCGUUUUAAGACUCAGAAAAAGUGCUCUUGUUUCUGCUACUUUCAAUUACUUUCCUUGGAUUUUAAAACUCAUUCUUUCUAUAGGAUUUUUUA